CUUCUGAUUUCAGGUAAGUCGAAAGGAACACCCUUCAACGUACCGAAUCCAGCAGGCUAACGGGGGUGAAUUUCACUGAUUGUGAGAUUUGAGUGACCGACACGUCCGCCUAGGCGACUUCGGAGCGAAUUGGAUAUGCCGGUGGCGUAAAACCCAGCGACUGAUUGUCGGCGAUGUUGUUGGAUCGGUGGAUUCAUUGCGGGUCGGUCGUAAACGGGUAUGUCCGAACGGUACAUCGCGGUGUGCGCCGUACCGAGGAGUCAGACCGGCUACAGGUUGACGCUCGUUGAAUUCUUUCAAAAAAUUAACAAAGGAAGGAUACCUGGAGGAUCGUCUUUGUGUACGAGAGUACGAGAUGAGGCUGUGCAGCUGGAUGUGAGCGAAGAGAUAUUUCUUCUCGACGAAGCGAGACGUAGAUCUCGUGCUAAUGGGUGCUGUACGAGUUGAAAGAGAA